rnacentral:antisense_RNA from 1 species
AUCUUCCUUCAUUUGAUUGGAAAGCUAAUCCUGGGAAUUCUGU